UUUGUUUUCAUACCACUAUGCUUUGUAAAAAAAAAAAAAAGCUUUUAGUCAUGCCCUUAUAUCCUUACUUCUCUCUGCACAACCAAAGUUGGAAUUCAUAGAAGCCUUUAAGCUCCAAGAGUAGUAUCAAAGUAAGGGAGAGCGUGGGAAACCUAGGGCGUAAAGUUAGAGUGAAGAUUGUGCUUCGAGGGCUUUGUGAUGACCAGGAGGAUUAGCGCUACUUUUCCCAAGACAGGUUUUUAUGUGUAUGAUCUUCAGGCUUUGCCUAACCAGGUUGGCUGGCUGGUGCUGACGGGACGGAGCUGAGGCUAGAGAUAAAUUCCUAUGUUAGACUUCCGCUGUAGCAAUUACUCUUAUACAUCUUUUGUUUUCUCAACUUAAGAUGACUUCAUUUGAGCUUCAAUUUAAAAUUUAUAGUUUUAUGUUAAUGAACGUCGGUUGUCAGAAGCAUGAAACAAAACUUGUGAUCCAAAGGGGCAUAGCCCGACUCUUUAUUUUAUUAUUCGGGUUUUAACAAGGUUGUUCCUUGUUUAUUUA